CCCCUCCCCGCGCCUAGAGGCCAGGCUGUCUCCAGGCUGGGAGACUCACCAGCCUGGUUUUCUUGUUUUUGUGGCUGACUCAGGGGUGUCCCCGAAGACGCGAAACCCUCCUCGGGAGGGUGGGUCGGAGCUGGGCCGCUCCCUGGACUCGGAAAGGGGAAGAGUUCCACUUGGGGGGGGCCCUUUGCUGGUCCAGGGGACUGUGAAGGAGCAGAGUCACCUCAGUCACGGAGCAGCAAGGCCAGAGGCGAAACCCACUGCUCCUCCCUCGCCAGCCUGGGCAGGACGUUCAGUACGGAGCUGGCACCUCCCCGGCCGGGCUCUGUGGCCGGGAGACUAGGGUGAGAGCCUGGGCGGAGUUGGAGAAGAUGCCCCUUUCCCCCAAUUUGUGCCGGCCUUGC
rnacentral:lncRNA from 1 species